AGAGUUUGAUCAUGGCUCAGAGCGAACGCUGGCGGCAGGCUUAACACAUGCAAGUCGAGCGGGCGUAGCAAUACGUCAGCGGCAGACGGGUGAGUAACGCGUGGGAACAUACCUUUUGGUUCGGAACAACACAGGGAAACUUGUGCUAAUACCGGAUAAGCCCUUACGGGGAAAGAUUUAUCGCCGAAAGAUUGGCCCGCGUCUGAUUAGCUAGUUGGUGAGGUAAUGGCUCACCAAGGCGACGAUCAGUAGCUGGUCUGAGAGGAUGAUCAGCCACAUUGGGACUGAGACACGGCCCAAACUCCUACGGGAGGCAGCAGUGGGGAAUAUUGGACAAUGGGCGCAAGCCUGAUCCAGCCAUGCCGCGUGAGUGAUGAAGGCCCUAGGGUUGUAAAGCUCUUUUGUGCGGGAAGAUAAUGACGGUACCGCAAGAAUAAGCCCCGGCUAACUUCGUGCCAGCAGCCGCGGUA
rnacentral:rRNA from 1 species